UACGAAGGGUGCAAGCGUUACUCGGAAUUACUGGGCGUAAAGCGUGCGUAGGUGGUGAGUUAAGUCUGUCGUGAAAGCCCCGGGCUCAACCUGGGAAUGGCGAUGGAUACUGGCUCGCUAGAGUGCGGUAGAGGAGAGUGGAAUUCCCGGUGUAGCAGUGAAAUGCGUAGAGAUCGGGAGGAACAUCAGUUGCGAAGGCGGCUCUCUGGACCACAACUGACGCUGAUGCGCGAAAGCUAGGGGAGCAAACAGG
rnacentral:rRNA from 1 species